rnacentral:lncRNA from 1 species
CUAGCUCUGUGGAUUCUUAUCAAGUUCAGUUGUCCAGUGUUGUAAAUUGUUGCUGUUUUGUUUUUACAGGGUGGAUCAUACUCCUCACAAAACUAUGGUGAUAGCCAAGUAAGUAGUAGGUUUUUAUUUCCUCCCACUGAGGUUGUGCUUUACAAGGUUCCAUUAUCUCUGUUCAAAAUUAGCUCUGUAAUGUUGUAAUAUUUAUUCUAAUUUUGUUUGUUUUGCAGAGUGGCUCAUCAUCUUCACAACAUUAUGGUGGCAGCCAGAACUAUGGAGGUGGCCAAGGUGGAUCAUCCUCUUCAGACAGCUAUAGUGAUAAUCAGGAUUCACAGGUUUCUUCAGAUGAUAAUCCCAAUGCUUGUGAUGAUAAUGACACUACAUAUAGUGCUAAUGGUCAGAGUUCUGGUUGUUCAAACAGAAAGAUUGUUGUUGCACGCGACACAUCACAUGUUUUGAGCAAAAGAGACUAUGAUGUACAGAAUGGAUCUUCUACUUCAAAUGGCAACCACACCAACCUCCAGGAUGGAUCCUUUAUUGCAACCGGUGGUGGAUCAAGUAGCCAGGGUGGUUGCAUUUGUCCUGAUGGAAGCAGUGGAAUUAGACAGGGAGCGCCAGGUUCUUCACACAGCACGUACUCUGGUAACCAGGGAGGAUCCUCCUUCUACCCGGGAGGAUCCUCCUUCUACCCAGGAGGAUCUUAUGGACAGGGAGCGCCAGGUUCUUCACACAGCACGUACUCUGGUAACCAGGGGGGACCUUCCUUCUAUCCUGGUGGAUCUCAUGGACAGGGAGCGCCAGGUUCUUCACACAGCACGUACUCUGGUAACCAGGUAA